rnacentral:rRNA from 1 species
CCCUAUAAAGCACAAAGGAGCAGGUAUCAGGCACAAUCUUUAGCCCAAAACACCUUGCUACGCCACACCCACACGGGCACCCAGCAGUGAUAAAUAUUAAGCAAUGAGCGAAAGCCAAUUUAAGCUCGACUUAGUUAUGAUUAUUAGGGCCGGUAAACCUCGUGCCAGCCCACCGCGGUUAUACGAGGGGCCCAAAACAAUGGACACCGGCGUAAAUUGUGACUAGAGCAAUUACUUAUAUCAUGAGAAAUAAACAAAAGCCCAACCGUAAAACCUGGGCCAAAAGAAACAUACCUUCUCAACUACUAAGUAUCUUGAACCCACGAAGACUAAGAAACAAACUAGGAUUAGAUACCCUACUAUGCUUAGUUGUUAACACGACACCAAAAAACUAUGAUGUCCGCCAGAGAAUUACACGCGAAAAGCUUAAAACUCAAAGGACUUGGCGGUGCUCCGUAUUCGUAUUAGAGGAGCCUGUCCUAUAAUCGAUAACCCACGUUUUACCUUACCAUCUUUUGUCAAAUCAGCCUAUAUACCGCCGUCGCAAACUUACCUCAUGAGAGACUAACAGUAAGUAAAAAAGUAUUGCACUAACACGUCAGGUCAAGGUGUAGCUAAUAAGAUGGAAGAGAUGGGCUACAUUUUCUAAAACAGAACACACGGCAAAG